GAUGAACGCUAGCGGCAGGCUUAACACAUGCAAGUCGAGGGGUAACAGGAGUAGCUUGCUAUUUGCUGACGACCGGCGCACGGGUGCGUAACGCGUAUAGAACCUACCAUAAACUGGAGAAUACCCUUUGGAAACGAAGAUUAAUACUCCAUAAUGUUUUAGAGUCACCUGGCUUUAAGAUUAAAGAUUUAUUGGUUUAUGAUGGCUAUGCGUCUUAUUAGCUAGAUGGUAAGGUAACGGCUUACCAUGGCAACGAUAAGUAGGGGUCCUGAGAGGGAGAUCCCCCACACUGGUACUGAGACACGGACCAGACUCCUACGGGAGGCAGCAGUGAGGAAUAUUGGUCAAUGGAGGCAACUCUGAACCAGCCAUGCCGCGUGAAGGAUGACUGCCCUAUGGGUUGUAAACUUCUUUUACAUGGGAAGAACUGCAGAUACGUGUAUUUGUUUGACGGUACCAUGCGAAUAAGGACCGGCUAACUCCG
rnacentral:rRNA from 1 species